GCGAGUCUGCCUUGAAAUCGGAGUGCUUGCACUCCGUGAAACAUAUACAGGCUAGCGGCGGACGGGUGAGUAACACGUGGGUAAUCUGCCCAAGAGAUCGGGAUAACACCUGGAAACAGAUGCUAAUACCGGAUAACAACAGAUGAUGCCUAUCAACUGUUUAAAAGAUGGUUCUGCUAUCACUCUUGGAUGGACCUGCGGUGCAUUAGCUAGUUGGUAGGGUAACGGCCUACCAAGGCGAUGAUGCAUAGCCGAGUUGAGAGACUGAUCGGCCACAUUGGGACUGAGACACGGCCCAAACUCCUACGGGAGGCAGCAGUAGGGAAUCUUCCACAAUGGACGCAAGUCUGAUGGAGCAACGCCGCGUGAGUGAAGAAGGGUUUCGGCUCGUAAAGCUCUGUUGUUGGUGAAGAAGGACAGGGGUAGUAACUGACCUUUGUUUGACGGUAAUCAAUUAGAAAGUCACGGCUAACUACGUGCCAGCAGCCGCGGUAAUACGUAGGUGGCAAGCGUUGUCCGGAUUUAUUGGGCGUAAAGCGAGUGCAGGCGGCUCGAUAAGUCUGAUGUGAAAGCCUUCGGCUCAACCGGAGAAUUGCAUCAGAAACUGUCGAGCUUGAGUACAGAAGAGGAGAGUGGAACUCCAUGUGUAGCGGUGAAAUGCGUAGAUAUAUGGAAGAACACCGGUGGCGAAGGCGGCUCUCUGGUCUGUUACUGACGCUGAGGCUCGAAAGCAUGGGUAGCGAACAGGAUUAGAUACCCUGGUAGUCCAUGCCGUAAACGAUGAGUGCUAAGUGUUGGGAGGUUUCCGCCUCUCAGUGCUGCAGCUAACGCAUUAAGCACUCCGCCUGGGGAGUACGACCGCAAGGUUGAAACUCAAAGGAAUUGAC
rnacentral:rRNA from 1 species